rnacentral:rRNA from 1 species
AGUGAACGCUGGCGGCGUGCUUAACACAUGCAAGUCGAACGAGAACGGAACAUAGCUUGCUAUGUUUGUCAGCUAAGUGGCGAACGGGCGAGUAAUGUAUAGCUAAUGUGCCCCUUGGAGGGGGAUAACAGUUGGAAACGACUGCUAAUACCCCAUACUCCUUCUAUCUUAAUGAUAGUUGGGAAAUGUUUUUUCGCCAAGGGAUCGGGCUAUAUGGUAUCAGUUAGUUGGUGAGGUAAUGGCUCACCAAAACGAUGACGCCUAGCUGGUCUGAGAGGAUGAUCACCCACACUGGAACUGAGACACGGUCCACACUCCUACGGGAGGCAGCAGUGGGGAAUAUUGCACAGUGGGGGAAACCCUGAUGCAGCAACGCCGCGUGGAGGAUGACGCAUUUCGGUGUGUAAACUCCUUUUAUAUAGGAAGAUAAUGACGGUACUAUAUGAAUAAGCACCGGCUAACUCCGUGCCAGCAGCCGCGGUAAUACGGAGGGUGCAAGCGUUACUCGGAAUCACUGGGCGUAAAGCGCGCGCAGGCGGUUUGAUAAGUUGGAUGUGAAAUCCUAUGGCUUAA